rnacentral:rRNA from 1 species
AGUGGCGAACGGGUGAGUAACACGUAGGUAAUCUGCCUAUCAAACCGGGAUAGCCAGUGGAAACAUUGGGUAAUACCGGAUACGUUCUGUAUGAGGAAUUGUACAGAAGAAAGGGUACAUCUGUGCCGUUGAUAGAGGAGCCUGCGCUUGAUUAGCUAGUUGGUAGGGUAAAGGCCUACCAAGGCGACGAUCAAUAGCCGGCCUGAGAGGGUGAUCGGCCACACUGGGACUGAGACACGGCCCAGACUCCUACGGGAGGCAGCAGCUAAGAAUCUUCCGCAAUGGGCGAAAGCCUGACGGAGCGACACCGCGUGAAUGAUGAAGGUCGUGAGGUUGUAAAAUUCUUUUCUAGCUGAGGAAUAAGUAUUAUGCGCAAGUGUAGUACGAUGACGGUAAGCUAGGAAUAAGCCCCGGCUAAUUACGUGCCAGCAGCCGCGGUAAUACGUAAGGGGCGAGCGUUGUUCGGAAUUAUUGGGCGUAAAGGGUAUGUAGGCGGACUAACAGGCAUCAUGAUAAAGCCAACAGCUCAACUGUUGUUCAUUGUGAUGAACCGUUAGUCUAGAGUUAUA